rnacentral:rRNA from 1 species
GACGAACGCUGGCGGCGUGCUUAACACAUGCAAGUCGAACGGAAAGGCCCUGCUUUUGUGGGGUGCUCGAGUGGCGAACGGGUGAGUAACACGUGAGUAACCUGCCCUUGACUUUGGGAUAACUUCAGGAAACUGGGGCUAAUACCGGAUAUGAGCUCCUGCUGCUUGUUGGGGGUUGGAAAGUUUCGGCGGUUGGGGAUGGACUCGCGGCUUAUCAGCUUGUUGGUGGGGUAGUGGCUUACCAAGGCUUUGACGGGUAGCCGGCCUGAGAGGGUGAACGGGAAAAUUGGGACUGAGAUACGGACCAGAAGAGAACGGGAGGAAGGAGCGGGGAAUAUUGCAAAAUGGGCGGAAGCAUGAUGAAGAAACGCAGCGUGCGGGAUGAAGGCCUUCGGGUUGUAAACAGAUUUAGCAGGUGACGAAGAGUGAGUGACGGUAAUGGGUAAAGAAGCACCGGCUAACUACGUG